rnacentral:rRNA from 1 species
AUACGGAGGGUGCAAGCGUUGUUCGGAAUCACUGGGCGUAAAGGGCGCGCAGGCGGUUUGGUAAGUCAGAUGUGAAAGCCCACGGCUCAACCGUGGAAGUGCAUUUGAAACUGCCAGACUUGAGUACCAGAGGGGAAAGUGGAAUUCCCGGUGUAGAGGUGAAAUUCGUAGAUAUCGGGAGGAAUACCGGUGGCGAAGGCGACUUUCUGGCUGGAUACUGACGCUGCGGCGCGAAAGCGUGGGGAGCAAACAGGAUUAGAUACCCCAGUAGUCC